rnacentral:rRNA from 1 species
CAGUAGCCACGGGAAUACAGAGGGUGCGAGCGUUAAUCGGAUUUACUGGGCGUAAAGCGUGCGUAGGCGGCUUUUUAAGUCGGAUGUGAAAUCCCUGAGCUUAACUUAGGAAUUGCAUUCGAUACUGGGAAGCUAGAGUAUGGGAGAGGAUGGUAGAAUUCCAGGUGUAGCGGUGAAAUGCGUAGAGAUCUGGAGGAAUACCGAUGGCGAAGGCAGCCAUCUGGCCUAAUACUGACGCUGAGGUACGAAAGCAUGGGGAGCAAACAGGAUUAGAUACCCGCGUAGUCCCUGUCUCUUAUAA